UCCUCAGAGGUUACCUCACUAGCGAAGGGUCGCGAAGACGACCCACCUAUGUCGGUCACAGAGCGCAGUUUCUGGCCCCGAGACCGUUGCCCUGGGCCUCUCCCCCCACCACGUCCUCCUCGGGCACCUCUCCCUCGACCUCCCUGUGAGAACUCAUCGUCAAGUAGUCGGGAGGGGACAUUACGGGGUCGACCACUCCGACUAACCUUCGCGACGAGUUUUUUUAGCAAACCAGUACCAUCGGCCUUGCCUUUUCCCAUACUUAGCGAACCUGCAUUAAAAGGGAAUAAAAAGUUAGUGUAAUAAUAGAAAAGACAUAUUAAUAAACCAUAUAAAAAAGACAUAUUAAUAAAACAUAUAAAAAAGACAUAUUAAUAAACCAUGUAAAAAUACAUAUUAAUAAAACAUACAAAUAAGACAUGGAACAUACAUGUGUUAAAACCCAUACGAAUCAUCACUGUUGUAACCGUUUCCUCGACCGGUCUCAUCGUCACUAUCACGCAUAUCAUCUUCAUUGUCUGACGUAGGUGCAGGCUCUUCCUCGUCUUCAGCGUAUUCAUUUAAUUUCUCUAGCAUUAAUAUGUCUUGGUUGUUCACAAUGGUCUCGCCAUCAUCUCGUGCAUCGUCAUCAUUUGGAUCCACAUCAACAUCAGCAUCAUUGUAUCGAACCACAUCAACAUCAUCAAGUUGCUCUUGAUAGAACACUCCCUCGUAUGUCAUGGGGUUAAUGUAGAAGUAGUCGUCAUCGUCCGGGUCCGGUAGCUUACCAUGUGGCGCCACCUUGAACACAACUUCCCAACCCUUUAGCUUACCAGCGGCUGCAUAAACACUCCCAAAUUCUUUCCCGGGUAGUCAGGCCCCGGAAUGAUCAGCGACAAGAACAUGGUCUUGCGUUGCAUUAUGACACCGGGAGGGAGAUUGAGCGGAAUAACAAACACGGGCCAGCAACUGUAUGGAUUGGAUGACAUACCAUAGGGAUUCAACCCGUCACCUGUUAUCGCAAGCCUGACAUUCCCGGCCUCGGCUGCUUCCUCGGGAUAUUCUUUAUCGAAUGACUUCCAUGCUUCAGCUUGCGAUGGAUGUAUGAUUUUUCUUUUAUCGUCCCUUUCCCCUUUGUGCCACUUCAUCAUUUUGGCAGACUCCUCCGUAAUGAAAAGGCGCUGCAGUCUUUCUAUGAAAUGGAGAUACCAAAGAAUCUUCACUGGGAUGUCUAGUUGCUUCUUGUCACCGUGCUCAUCGACCACCUCAAGGUACCGAGAGGAACCACACUCCCUACAGUACUUGUCAUCCGCAUACUCGUGCCUAAACAAAAGGCAAUUCUUCGGACAAGCAUCUAUUUUCUCAUAUUUCAUAGACAGUGCAUUCAUGAUUUUCUUCGUAGCAUACAUGCUUUUCGGCAGUUCAUGACCCUCAGGAAGGCUGUUAGCCCAUACUCCCAGAAAUGCUUCAAAGCAAGCUUGGGUACAGCCGUACUCAGCCUUGACUGCCAUCAGUUGUGAGAUGGCAUCCAACUGAGAAAUUUUGGCACCCGCAUAAAGAGGUUUCUUUGAUGAGGCCAAGACCUGCAAGAAGGCCUUUGCAAUUGCCUCUGGCUCCUCUGGUUCAUUCUCUGAAGGUGUUGUAUGUGUCGUCUCGGCAGCAAAGACAUCAUCUAGCAUGUCUCUAACCCCAUCAUCCUCGUAACCACCGAUGCGUUGUCGCAUCACCUCCUCUCUACCACGAUCCCGCUCGGCAAAGUUUAUGGGCAUAUUAAAGUCUUCCAUAUAUCCAAACGUGCGAAGGUGCACUGUCAUUUCUCCCUUAUCUCUACGGUGACGUCUUUCACAUUUUGCACAGGGGCAUUCUGGGUUAACUAUCAUUGGACAACGGAAUAUCUCCUUCAAGAACACAUUGGUUUUCUCGACCAACUCUGUUGUCACUUGAUUCCGACAGAUAAAACCGUUGUACAUCCACUUAUUAUCUGUCAUCCUUUACUGUAUCACGAGCCACACAACAAAAUUAUGGAUUCAUUAAAUUUAAUCACAUACAAAUUAUGGAUUCAUUAAAGAGGUUUUAUUUUCUAUCGAGUUAACGAGAAAAGGCACUGAAUCCACCUACAUCUCUAAUAGGUAAAGAGGGUCCUAAUCCCACCCGAGGAUGUGUAGAUUGAGUACGUUCUCCAUGCUCUAUCCCGUUCCGAGACAAAAUUUCGGCAGCACCUCCCCGCUGUUCUCCAGAUACAAGUCUCGGCAAAAAGCUGAGAGAAUAUGCAUCCGGAGAACAACGGGGAGGCGCCGCCGAAAUCCUGUCUUCAAACGGGAUAGAGCAUGGAAAACGUACCCAAUCUACACAUCCCCGGGCUGUCCGUGGAAAACGCUGGACAAUCCAAAACAAUUGCGGUGAUAAAUAUGCAAUUAAAUGCAUAUUUAUCGAUGCAACCAUUUCGGACGGGAGACGCCUAGGUUACGCGACUUGACGUGAAAAGAAAAUCUGGUGACAUGAAAAAAACCCGGAGAAUGAGGUGGGUUUGCAUCUCACCCUCGGAUGUAGAGGAAGUAGUCCAAAAGCAAUAAGAUGAUCAAGGACCAAAAGUUGCGUCAACGCUUAUGAGAUGCAACACCACAA
rnacentral:lncRNA from 1 species